CUUUUAGAUGGGCUGGUCAAUGAAACUCAACCUUGAUGCUACUGAAAACAUCAUGAAACUAUUUUAACAUGCCUUACGCGCACAGAGAUACAAACUUUGAAUUAUUGUUUAUUAGCGAUAACACACAUAAAUUACGUAAGGAGAAAGGAGCGGAAAAUGAUAAAUUAAAAAAUUAGUAGUAUCACGGACCAACCCAGGCAUAUUGAUUAUGAAUAUUUUAUAAAUAUAUUGUAUCUUUUUGAGUAAAUAGUAGAUAAACAUAUUACUACUCGAAAAUAAUA
rnacentral:lncRNA from 1 species